rnacentral:rRNA from 1 species
CCAGCAAUCAGCCAGAGUUUAUUGUAUGACUCGGCUGGCGGCUUCCGGGAAACCAAAGUUUUUCGGUUCCAGGGGAAGUAUGGUUGCAAAGCUGAAACUUAAAGGAAUUGACGGAAGGGCACCACCAGGAGUGGAGCCUGCGGCUUAAUUUGACUCAACACGGGAAAACUCACCCGGUCCGGACACUGGAAGGAUUGACAGAUUAAGAGCUCUUUCUUGAUUCAGUGGGUGGUGGUGCAUGGCCGUUCUUAGUUGGUGGAGCGAUUUGUCUGGUUAAUUCCGAUAACGAACGAGACUCUAGCCUACUAAAUAGUGUUGAACACCCGUUGUGUUGUUCGAACGCUUCUUAGAGGGACAAACGGCGUUUCAGCCGUAUGAAAAAGAGCAAUAACAGGUCUGUGAUGCCCUUAGAUGUCCGGGGCCGCACGCGCGCUACACUGAAAAAAUCAGCGUGCAUGUGUCUACCUACUUCGAAAGAAGCGGGAAACCGAGUGAAACUUUUUCGUGAUUGGGAUUGGGGAUUGUAAUUGUUGUCCAUGAACGAGGAAUUCCCAGUAAGCACAAGUCAUCAGCUUGUGUUGAUUACGUCCCUGCCCUUUGUACACACCGCCCGUCGCUACUACCGAUUGGAUGUUUUAGUGAGGUCUUCGGACAGGCCAACGUAGCCAUCCUCGUGGUGGCCAUGUUCGGCCGGAAAGAUGACCAAACUUGAACAUCUAG